AUCUAGCUGACGAGUCCCACAUAGGGUGAAACACGCAUCCUGGAC
rfam:Schistosoma mattheei strain Denwood, Zambia genome assembly, scaffold: SMTD_scaffold0004293